AUGGAGAGCAUGCUAAAACUAUUUAGUGAGUGGGAGAUUCAGCUGCUUGUGCUUUCCAGCUUCAUGCUACAAACAUUCCUCUUCUUUACGGGGAGCCUUCGGCUACGUAGCACCAACGGUUUUCUUAGAGGCACCAUUUGGGUAGCCUAUUUAGCGGCAGACUUGGUUGCAGUUUUUGCCCUUGGCUUUCUGUCAAGGCAAAGGGAAUCCACCACGGAAAGGGGCACAAUAAGGGAAACCCACCCGCUGGCCUUCUUGUGGGCGCCUUUCCUCCUCAUUCAUCUCGGCGGACAAGACACCAUCACUGCAUUCGCCAUAGAGGACAACAGUUUGUGGCUAAGGCAAAUGUAUAAUUUGACAGCCCAAGUGGUCCUGGCCUUGUAUGUUUUCUGGAAGUCGACUGGUUUGCGCAACAUGCAACUUCUUCUCCCAGGCAUCUUUGUAUUUGUUGCUGGAGUCAUCAAGUAUGUGGAGAGGACACUGGCUCUCAUGUACGGUAAUAACAAGGAUUCCGAUAGGAAAGAAAACAAGUAUACAGACAUGGCACUAGAUCAUGAGGAUGCUAUCUACCCUAGGAUUGUUUGUUACGCUUUGGAUUGCGCACCCGUCAUCCGACAUCUAUUUGCUGGGCGCACACUAUACCAGAUAGAAAAAGACAUUGCUCGAGAAGACAAAUUUGAUGAAGGCCAGUUGGUCAAGUUGAUCAACGUUGAACUUGGAAUCAUGUAUUAUGAUCUGUACACUAAGGCGGCAGUGCUUCGGACAAGAAGUGGCAUUAUACUUCGGUGCAUAUCCCAAGUAUCGGCCAUAGUUGCCAUGGUGCUCUUCGCAAUUAGCAACAAGCGGCAAUACAACAUAGCCGACGUUGUAAUCACAUACGCGUUGUUUAUCGGAGGUUUUUCCCUGGAAGUUUUUGCAAUGUUUAUGAUGGUCAUGGUAUCACCUUGGACAUGGGCAUGGUUGAAGGCCAACAAGUGUCGUUGGCUCGCCCGCAUGUCUUGGAUUCUUCUCUCCAGCAAUAUCAUCGGGUGGCCGGAGGAGAAGACACUGUGGUCCAACAGCAUGGGGCAGUACAGUUUUCUGAGCUACAUUGGCUGUGAAACGCCAAGUAGCAUGUCAGGACACGCGAUGUGCAUGAUUAGGAAAAUAGCGAAGGUAGUUGGCGCUGGAGGGGCCGGAAAGUUGUUUUGGCUGAGCAAACUGCUAGACACCAAGUCCGAGGUGGUGGACAAGCAGAUCGCAGAGAGUUUCAUAAAGGUGAUUGACGCGUACGCCUUCUCUUUCCCCCAGCCACAGUGGCGACACCUCGGUCCGUUCCUGAAGCAGCAACUAUCAGGCGGCGCCGCGGAUUUCAACGAUCUGGUGCUCCAGUUGCGCUUGCUGACGGAGAUGCAGCUCAGCCUUGUUUCAAUGUCUACGAGAAUCAGCAUGGAUGAUGCCGAAACAGGCGUUUUGGUCAGCCACUGCCGGAAACUAUCCAAUUACAUGAUGUACAUUGUUGCAAUACAUGCAGCUUCCAUGUUGCAGGUCAUUGGUUCUAGUCCCGGGGAGCUGCUCGAAAGCGCACAUAAGCGUGUGAGACCCAUAGGCGGCGACAAGGCAGCCAUCCUGCGGGAGCUGAGAGAUGUUCGAGUGUGUGAGAACCUGCAGCCUGAUUUGUAUAAAGAAACACUGGUGGAAAUCAGGGACAUGUGGGUGAGGAUCAUCAUGUACGCCGCCGGCAAGUCCCGACCGGAGAAGCACGCGGCGCAGCUCGCCAGGGGAGGGGAGCUGCUCACCUUCGUCUGGCUGCUCAUGGUCCACAAGGGGGUUGGGGAUACAACGCUAAGUAGGGUCGAGCUUACCAGCAAUCCUACUGCUUUCGAUCUUGAGGUGUUAUACGCCUUGGAUUUUCGCCAACAUAGAUCAGCAUCAGCGUCAGCGUCAGCUGGCGACGCCUCUCCCUCGGCAUCCUCCACCUCCACCCCACCGCCAUCCUCCUCUCCGCCCAACACCAACACCGGGGCCUCGCCGCCGACCUCUACUUCUCCCCCUAGAUCCCAGGGUGAGGGAGCAUAA
rnacentral:rRNA from 1 species